rnacentral:rRNA from 1 species
GCAUAACGCGAAGAACCUUACCUACCCUUGACAUGUCAGAGAUCCCUGAGAGAUUGGGGAGUGCCGCAAGGAAUCUGAACACAGGUGCUGCAUGGCUGUCGUCAGCUCGUGUCGUGAGAUGUUGGGUUAAGUCCCGCAACGAGCGCAACCCUUGUCGUUAAUUGCCAUCAUUUGGUUGGGCACUUUAACGAGACUGCCGGUGACAAACCGGAGGAAGGUGGGGAUGACGUCAAGUCCUCAUGGUUCUUAUGGGUAGGGCUUCACACGUCAUACAAUGGUCGGUACAGAGGGUUGCGAAGCCGCGAGGUGGAGCCAAUCCCAGAAAGCCGAUCGUAGUCCGGAUUGGAGGCUGCAACUCGCCUCCAUGAAGUCGGAAUCGCUAGUAAUCGCGGAUCAGCAUGUCGCGGUGAAUACGUUCCCGGGUCUUGUACACACCG